GUGCUCGCUCUGGCAGCACAUAUACUAAAAUUGGAACGACACAGAGAAGAUUAGCAUGGCCCCUGUGCAAGGAUGAUACACAAAUUUGUGAAGCGUUCUCUAUUUUU
ensembl:snRNA U6 U6 spliceosomal RNA